UGGCGAACGGGUGAGUAACACGUGAGCAAUCUGCCCUUGACUCUGGGAUAACUGCGGGAAACUGUAGCUAAUACCGGAUACGACCUGAAGAGGCAUCUUUUUGGGUGGAAAGAAUUUUGGUCAAGGAUGAGCUCGCGGCCUAUCAGCUUGUUGGUGAGGUAAUGGCUCACCAAGGCGACGACGGGUAGCCGGCCUGAGAGGGUGACCGGCCACACUGGGACUGAGACACGGCCCAGAUUCCUACGGGAGGCAGCAGUGAGGAAUUUUCCGCAAUGGGCUAAAGCCUGACGGAGCAAUACCGCGUGAGGGAUGACAGCCUUAGGGUUGUAAACCUCUUUUAUCAAGGAGGAAGUUCUGACGUGUACUUGAUGAAUAAGCAUCGGCUAACUCCGUGCCAGCAGCCGCGGUAAGACGGAGGAUGCAAGUGUUAUCCGGAAUCACUGGGCGUAAAGCGUCUGUAGGUGGUUUAAAAAGUCCACUGUUAAAAAUUGAAGCUUAACUUCAAAGAUGCUGUGGAAAC
rnacentral:rRNA from 1 species